rnacentral:rRNA from 1 species
AUGGAGCCCAUGAGCGUGGACAGCAGCGGCUGCGGCGGCCUGGACGCGCAGAUCGAGCAGCUCUUGCAGUGCCGCCCGCUUGCCGAGCAAGAGGUUAAAGCACUAUGCGAGAAGGCUAAGGAGAUAUUGAUGGAGGAAAGCAAUGUGCAGCCAGUCAAAAGCCCAGUGACAAUCUGCGGUGAUAUUCACGGACAAUUCCAUGAUCUUGUUGAGCUUUUCCGGAUUGGCGGGAAGUGCCCAGAUACUAAUUAUUUGUUUAUGGGGGAUUAUGUGGAUCGUGGAUACUACUCCGUUGAGACUGUUUCUCUCUUGGUAGCACUGAAGGUUCGCCACCCACAUCGGAUUACAAUCCUCCGCGGAAACCAUGAGAGUCGGCAGAUCACACAAGUAUAUGGAUUCUACGAUGAAUGCCUACGGAAGUACGGCAAUGCAAAUGUAUGGAAGAUAUUCACAGAUCUUUUUGAUUAUUUCCCAUUAACAGCCCUGGUGGAAUCUGAAAUUUUCUGCCUGCAUGGUGGUUUAUCUCCAUCGAUUGAGAAUCUUGAUAGUGUGCGUAGCUUGGAUCGUGUCCAAGAGGUUCCACAUGAGGGACCUAUGUGUGAUCUUUUAUGGUCUGAUCCGGACGAUCGAUGUGGUUGGGGCAUUUCUCCUCGUGGUGCUGGCUACACUUUUGGGCAGGACAUAUCUGAGCAGUUCAAUCACACCAACAAUCUCAAACUUGUAGCCCGGGCUCAUCAGUUAGUCAUGGAGGGAUAUAACUGGGCUCAUGAACAAAAAGUUGUUACCAUAUUCAGUGCUCCAAACUAUUGUUACCGAUGUGGCAACAUGGCGUCCAUUUUGGAAGUUGAUGACUGCAAUGCUCACACCUUUAUCCAGUUUGAGCCAGCCCCUCGGAGAGGUGAGCCAGACGUGACAAGGAGAACACCUGAUUAUUUCCUUUGA